rnacentral:rRNA from 1 species
CCACGGGAGGCCCACUUCCGGCCCACCGAAGCAACAAAAAUCACACACACACAACAUUCAAAGGCCGAGGCACCCAGGUCCCCCACCCUACCCCCCGUAUGACCCUUCCGUCGGCGAACCUGCGGAAGGAUCAUUACAGAGUUAGGGUGUGCCCUCCGGGUGCCCCGACCUCCCAACCCUUCCUUCCGUAGGUGAACCUGCGGAGGGAUCAUUAACGAGUUAGGGCCCUCAGGCCCGAUCUCCAACCCUUUGUUUUCAUAACCUCGUUGCCUCGGGGGUGGCCCUGCCUCACGGCGGGUCCCCCGGAGGACCACUACAACUCUGCAUUUGAAUGUCGUCUGAGUAAGAUUUUUAAUGAAAUCAAAACUUUCAACAACGGAUCUCUUGGUUCUGGCAUCGAUGAAGAACGCAGCGAAAUGCGAUAAGUAAUGUGAAUUGCAGAAUUCAGUGAAUCAUCGAAUCUUUGAACGCAUAUUGCGCCCCUUGGUAUUCCUUGGGGCACACCUGUUCGAGCGUCAUUUCACCAAUCAAGCCUCGCUUGGUAUUGGGCGAUGCGCAUGCCGCACGCCCCAAAUGCACCGGCCGAGCGUGCUCUCCCCCGGCGUCGUGGAGACAUAUCGCCAUGGGGAUGGGACCGCCCUCGCGCCGCAAAAACCUCUUUUAAAGGUUGACCUCGGAUCAGGUGGGGAUACCCGCUGAACUUAAGCAUAUCAAUAAGGCGGAGGAA